CGCCUGCCGGCGACCGGCGCACGGGUGAGUAACACGUAUGCGACCUGCCCCCCGCAGGGGGAUAACCGGGAGAAAUCCCGACUAAUACCGCGUAACGCCGCGGACCUGCAUGGGUCUGCGGCCAAAGGAAGCGAUUCCGGCGGGGGAUGGGCAUGCGGCGCAUUAGCUAGUCGGCGGGGUAACGGCCCACCGAGGCGACGAUGCGUAGGGGUUCUGAGAGGAAGGUCCCCCACACUGGUACUGAGACACGGACCAGACUCCUACGGGAGGCAGCAG
rnacentral:rRNA from 1 species